CGCACCACUGGUGUUCGGGUUGUCAUGCCAAUGGCAUUGCCCGGUAGCUAAGUGCGGAAAAGAUAAGCGCUGAAAGCAUCUAAGCGCGAAACUUGCCUCAAGAUGAGUCUUCCCUGGGCCUUUAAGGCCCCUGAAGGAACGUUUAAGACUAAGACGUUGAUAGGCUGGGUGUGUAAGUGCAGCGAUGCAUUGAGCUAACCAGUACUAAUGAUCCGUGAGGCUUAACCUU
rnacentral:rRNA from 1 species